rnacentral:rRNA from 1 species
CCAAUAGCGUAUAUUAAAGUUGUUGCAGUUAAAAAGCUCGUAGUUGAAUUUCGGGGUCAGUAGGUUGGUCGUGCCACCGGUACGUACUGGUCUCACUGAUUCCUCCUUCCUGAUGAGCUGUAAUGCCAUUAAUUUGGUGUUGCAGGGAAUCUGGACUGUUACUUUGAAAAAAUUAGAGUGUUUAAAGCAGGCUAACGCUUGAAUACAUUAGCAUGGAAUAAUGAAAUAGGACGUUCGAUCCUAUUUUGUUGGUUUCUAGGAUUGACGUAAUGAUUAAUAGGGAUAGUUGGGGGCAUUAGUAUUCAAUUGUCAGAGGUGAAAUUCUUGGAUUUAUUGAAGACUAACUACUGCGAAAGCAUUUGCCAAGGAUGUUUUCAUUAAUCAAGAACGAAAGUUAGGGGAUCGGAGACGAUCAGAUACCGUCGUAGUCUUAACCAUAAACUAUGCCGACUAGGGAUCGGAUGAUGUUAAUUUUUUAAUGACUCAUUCGGCGCCUUACG